GCUGGGCAUGGUGGCGUGCACCUGUAAUCCCAGCUACUUGGGAGGCUGAGGCAGGAGAAUCCCUUGAACCUGGGAGGUGGAGAUUGCAGUGAGCUGAGAUCGCGCCACUGCACUCCAGCCUGGGUGACAGAGCGAGACUUUGUCUCAAAAAAAAGUAAUAAAAUACACAUAGCAUAAAAUGUAUCAUUUUAACCCCUGUCUCCAGGCUGGAGAGGUGUGUGUGGUAUCGACCUCAGCUCACUGCAAUUCCCACCUCCAGGUUCAAGGGAUUCUCCUGCCUCAG
rnacentral:SRP_RNA from 1 species